GCCCGCUGCGCCUCCUCCGA
rnacentral:siRNA from 1 species